UAUUAGAGAUGUUAGGAUAAGGGCUCACUUGUGGCCUGCUUUAUUUAGAGGUAUUAUUAGUUGUUUAGUAAUCAGUUGGAGGAAUCAUAGUUGGAGGGUUGAUAGGCGGUUGUUGAUUCAACGAUUGUUUGGGGAUGGAAGCAGUAAAUUU